CCUACCUAGAGAUUUUUUAAAAGACCCCUCUUGCUCAAAAAUCUUCAGGGGCCCCAUAUUGUCUUUUAAGUACUAUUCAGACUCCUCUGACUUUUAAGGCCUUCUAUAAUCUCUUUUAUUUCAGCUUACACUAUACAUUUGGCAAAGUUCCUGAAAGAUACCCUAAUAAUUGUCAUUUAUUUUAGUAAUAAAAGGUCACGACCCAUUAUUUAUGGAGAAAGGAAAUGGAAUACAAAUAUACUUUAGGAAUCACUGCUGUGACUUUUAAGAUUCUCAGUGUUCACUAAAUAUUCCUUCUUAAAAUGCCUUACUCCCCUUUUUAGAUUCACAAAGCAUUUUACAUGGCUUCAUCCUCACAGAAAUUCUACCAAGAAGGUGCCAUUAUUAUCUCUUUUUUAUGUAUGGUGAAACUUAGGCUCAGAGACAUUGAGACUUGCUCAGGAUUAAAGAGCUUGUAUGUGCUUGAGGUAGGAAUUGAAUUUGAGACUUCCUGGAUCCAAAUCGAGCAUUAUUGUCAUGCAAUCACACAGUGAUCCAGGGUAGCAGUAGAGGCAGUCAUUGUUUUGGAAUGACUUGAGGGAACCAAUUUUUUUGAGAAAAAACACAUCUGUGCACUCUAAAAGCUCACUUAAUGUGUGUGCACCUGCUACAAAUAGAAUCAGGACUUUUCUAAAUUGAUGUAUGCAUAAGUGGCUGUUACUUCCAAAGUGUGGUUUAUAAAAAUCCAAUCUAAGUUAUAACAAUGGACUCUUUGCAUGUGAUAAUUAACACAACUUUAGACUAUGAGCUCAUACUGCUUAGGCCACAGUCCAAGUAUUAACUAGCAAGCAUUCAUUAGUAAGAGUAUAAACUAAUUAGUAUGUGAAAACAGUACAAUCGAAUUGUCUGCAGGUAGGCUAAGCUGGACAAAUUUCAUCAAAAUUAUCGACAUCUACAAGUGCUUAAGUGCUUGCUCUGCUGAGCUCUCCAACACUCCCUGCCUAUAGCAUUGCCCCCUGUCCUGUGAGAAUUACAAAUAUGCAUCCUAAAUCCUAAUAGAAAUAACAUAUUUCAUCUCUUAUUUUGGAUUCAAUCUGUUAACUAUCCUUCUUACUGUGAGCCAAAUAUAAUCUCAAUUUUCCCCAUCACUUUUAAAGAACUGCACCAGUUCUCAGCAGCAUUCAAUUUAUAUUUUGCAUGUUAAGUGAAAUUAUUAGUUAUAUAUUAAAAAUAACCAGUUGAAAUAUAAGCACCCAGGAUUUUCAUCAAGGUGAAAGGUGCCUUAUAGUGGAAUCUGGAACAAAUGUUGUUGCAAUUCUACAAGCAAUUGAGAGUAUAACCUUGGAGAAAAAAGAAAUAAAAGUUUCUGGUGUCUGUUGGCAGUGGACACAGAAAAUAAUUUUGUGUGCCAAUGGAAAUGUCUAAGGCACAAAUAAGAUGAAAGUUAAAUAAUUAUCUCCCUGCUUCUCUUUCCGUCCUUUUUCUCCUCCUCUUCACCUUGUGUCUUUUUUCCUCUUUCUUCCAAAUGUUUGCUUGUUCCAAAUAAGGUAGGCUGCUAUGCAUGGGCCAUAUCCAGGCUUCAAGAUGAGCCUUUUAAUUUUGACAUAAAUUUCCCGGAUGAAAAAGGUCUCCUUUCAAAACCUUGGCUGAUUGAGAGCAAAUAGAGAUUGAAUAGACUAAUGAAUAAGUAGAAUUACCAUGGUUACCCUGAACUGAGGGGCCCCCUCUCUAAAAGGAUCCUGCUCUUGGCUCUCAUGAAGCCUGGAAUUUUCUGGGGUUGGUCUGACCCCUCCCUUCCACCCAACAUCAAGUUUUUCUCCCACUCUGUAGUUUGUUUUGCCCUCUCCUCAGAAUAGAACUCCAGGGAAGAUCCCUAAACAAAACUUAAUAAUGAAUCAUUUUCAAGGUUUCCCCCAAAGGGAGUAAAAGAGUCCUGUCCAGAAAAGAUAUUCACUAUACAAAAUUGAUAUAGAAGAAAUCACAAAGGAAAUUCUUGAAACAGAAAAGUCUCGUUUUUCACAUAGACAAAUAUUUUAAAUUUGGCUAUCUCUUAUUAUGUAGUAGGACAUUUAUUUGGGAUAAUUCAAUAGGUAUUCAUUCACAUUUACCCAGCAUCUAAAGUUUUCCAGCAACAAGCAAGUCCAGAUCUCUUGGGAAGCCAGCUAUGACUUUUUUUAGUCUAUUCAGGUUCAGGGUGCCCAUAGCCUCAUGGCUAUAUGCUUGGAGGAAGGAGGGGAGGACUCUGAUGUACCUCAAAAGAAAAAUUGACAGAAUUUCCAAGAGAAACAUUCAAAGGUUAAGAAUGGAUAUGGAUAAACUGGAAUGUUAUCAAAGGUCAGCAUGUGAAUGGUGUGAUUUUUCUGAGAUCAUGAAAUUCCAUGAUCCACAGCUACUUGCCAUCAAAGGGAAGCCACUGGUGGAAAAAAGAUGCCUUUUGACAGCUGUCAACUAGGCUGUGAAUACUUUGACUCUAAUGAUCAGUGAACACACUACAGGUAAAAUGUCUUUGGAAAUGAAAUGAAAACUCACCCUUGCUCCCAACUUUCAAUUUAACCAUAGCAAGAUUGUGACCACUAUGACUAUGCUUUGGCAAAAUGAAGAAAACGAAUGUCUUAAACUAACAUUUUAUUAGACAAUGUUUUCCCAGGGAAGUAUUAGGUGAAAACAUUUCCAGAAAUGCUGGCACCUUAACAGCCCCAAGAUGGAUGUUUGUUUUCCCUGAGCCAAUGGAAACAAAACCCCAUUUGGACAUGUUGACGGGAGGACCUGACGUUUCUAAUAGGAAUGAAGGCUUGGAAACUCUCAAAAAUUGCAUAAAUGCAUGAAUACAUGAGCUCAUGGGCCUCUUGAUCUGAGGCUAACAUGGUCCCUUAGGGGCACUGGUGUAACAUAGCUGUUCUCAAGCCCAGCACAUCAAAUGUUUCACAGCUUCUCAGGCAGGCAGCUGGCCCAAAGGUGCAUUUUUCUUAGCUCACAAUCGCAAGUAAUUUAGUUUCUAAGACUAUAAUAACUCUCUAGGGGAGCUAGGGAAGAAGACAUUGGGGAGGAUUUAGCUUUCCUUAUAUAAUAGCUACACAAAAUAAAUGUGUUUUCGUGGCCAUAGUGGGAUGUUAGAUUCUAAGGAGCCACAUUUCAUCUGGGUCUGAGGGAGGGAAGUAGCUACAAAUUCUACCUAGGGCUAAGAAGAGGAGGAUAAAAACUGGAGCUUGGCACUUGGAUUGUGCAAAGAUAAUUGGGGGAUUGACUGAUCAUCCUUUUAAUAGGUUUGGAGCCUCAGUUUGCUGUGCUGAAAAAUGAAAGGGUCCCUAAGGAGCCCAUGGAUAGAUUUCAGGAAGUCCUAGAACUUGAUUGGGAAAAAUGACAUCUUUAUUUUUAUUUCUUCUCCUGGUUCCAGUUCUGAUUUUUUCAAAUAUCCCUUUCAUGACUCAGCUGCUGUUUUACUCUAGAACUUCCUUUGGACAUGCUGCCUCCUUUCUGCCACUGAAGUCUUCCUCUCUGACUCUCAGACACUUUUCAGUUGUAUGACCUUGGACACUUCAUCUGUUUGCCUCAGCUUCCUCAAAUAUAAAAUGGGAUAAGAGCACUUACCUCACAGGGUUGUUGUGAGGAUCAGAUGAAGUUAUAUUUAAAAGUGCCUGGCAAUACUUGGCAAUCUAUAAAUUAAACCAAUUGUUUAUUAUUAUUAUGAUUCUAAUCUCUCUUCUCUACUUCACCUCAUUUCAUCCUCAUCAUUGUAAGGGUCUAAGGUACGAAAAUUUACAUCAUUGCUAAUGAAAAUAGUUCAUUAUAAAAAGACCGAUAGAUCUCUUCCAUUUCUUAUCUAUUUGUUGUCCUUCUGGCAGUUUCAUCUAUGGAUAUUCUUGGGAUGAUAUGGUGCAGUUGGCUCGUAGGCCAAGCUCCCCAUAGGCUAUUAGUAGCCUUUCACCAUUCUCCUUCAGAGUGCUUUACAAAUGAGUUUCAAGACCUAUUUCCCAUCAUCCUAAUCUAUAUCUGGCCCCUUAGACCCAGAUAGCUCUGGAGGGGAAAG